CUGGGUGCUGGCUUUUUUGUGUUCCUUUCCGUGGUUUCAGGCUUUGUGUGUGACACAGGGUUUCAAAAACAUGAAGUGGAUGUUCUGGGAAUGGUCUGAAGAGAAAGGACUGAAGAAGACUGAAGAGAAAAUUAGAGAUCAUAUAUAGGAAGUUUCGUCGGAGGAUCUAUCUAAAAUGCAGGUUUGGCCAUGACACCCCCUGGAAUGGAAGACUUCAGUGGCUCCCAGUAUGUUCAUUCAGCAAACAUCCAUGCAGAGUGCCCGCUAUGUGCCAGGUGCUGUGCUGGGCAGCAGGGUGCAGUGAUAAACAAGGUGACUGAGGUCCCUGCUCUUGUGGGGCUUAUAAUUUAGUGCAAGGUGGAGUGGGCGCCCCACCAAGAGAUGAGUGAACAGAUCUCAGUGCCCAGGGCCCAUGCCAGACCUGUGAAGUGGCUCUUGUAAACUGGGAGGAGAAUAUCUGUAGAGUCGUGCUUCCUGACUCCACCUUGUUCAGCGUCUGAUCAGUGGCUUCGAUGGAGAGUUAAAGAAUCCCCACACGUCUGUGAGUGAUACAGAGCUGGAAGAGAGAGCUUGUGCCCUGAUCCGGGGUACUCAGGUUUAACCUUGGCUGCAUGUCACACUCCCCUGGGGAGCUUAAAAGGCGCCCUGACUGAGCACAUCAAAGUCUUGGGGGAGAAGAGCCCUGACACCGGCACCCCACCACUCCCUUCGUGUUCUGUAUACUCUCUGCCUUGGCUCAGGCCGUCCUUUCUCCAUCAUGCUUCUCGGGUUUGGUCCCCGGACCAUCAGCAUCAACAUCAGGUGGGAACCUGUUAGGAAUGCAGAUUCUUGGGCCCCACCCUAGACCCACUAAUCAGAGGCUCUGGAAAUGGGACCCAGACAUUUGUCCUUUAACAAGCUCUCCGGUGAUUCUGACACAGCUAAAGCUCAAGAACCGCCGCCCCAGGAUGCUCUGCUCCCCUGACAAGGCCUCAUCUUUUGAGCCUUAGCUCAAGUACCGUCGCCUCUGACAAGACUGCUGGGCAUCCUAACUCCCUGUUUGCCAUCUGUCCUAGCCCUGCAGAUACUCAGUCGUCACGAUGAUUUUAGGAGUCUGUGCCUGUGCUAGACUCUGGGUUUCCCGGGGGAGGGACUUUUCCCUUAUUCAGCUUUAUACUCCGAGGCCUAAAAUAGCACUGGAGCAUCGUGGGAGCUUCCACAAAUGUGGCUGGACGGAAUUCAACUAUCUUCGUGGUCUUGGCCAGUGGAAGAGGGAACCCUGCAUGCAGGUCCUGGAUGCAGCGUUCAGAGAUGCUCGGACCAGCAGGCAGUGCUGGCUCCGGGGCUCACCGCCUCUUGUUCCCACUUGCUGCUGGCCCCUCUAUCCUGACUUGACAGUGUCCUGAAUCUGAAAAUGGAAGUAGGCUGUGUAUCCCACAGACGAGGAGCACACACUGGUGCCCUGGAGGCUCAGAUACAAUUCAGGACCUGCUCAGGUGCAGCACCUGACAGCACCUUCUAAUCCAGCAAAGAUGUGAGGAGGAGUCUCCAGAGAGAGCUAUGGAUUUUUAGGACGUGGGACUCAGUAAAAUAUCUGCACUGUUUUCUUUAGUCUUCUGUAGGUCGUGUGCCUCAAAUGGGGAUUAGGUUAUAAUUUGGUUCUUUGUGUUCUAAGCAUCAGAAUACUGAAAAUGGAAUCUGAUUUAUUUUUUUCCUCUUAAACACUGAUGUCUUGCUGUGUGCCAUGGCUCACCCUUCAACAGUUUACCUGUGUUAUUUAGCCCUGUGCUUUGAUGAAAUGGAUGAGAGUUUAGCAGUGUAAGCCUGUGCAGUGUUGGGAAGGAUGCUAGACAGGAACACAUGUUUACUCAGCACUUACUACUCACAGGUGCUGUUGUAGGUAAUUUUGCAGAAGUGUCUUAUUUGAUCCUCAUUCUACUGUUAUAUAAGAUAGGCGACAUAUUUGUUCUAUGUUGAAAAAACUGAGCAUUAGAGGGUCUGAGAUGCUUGUUCAGGCCUGAGAGGUGAUACCUGGUAGUUGUAGAGUUAGUAAAUAUUUGUCUGGAACUUGGUUAUACUUCCUUUAUGUUCAAGGCUUUUUCCAUAUACUUAGCCUGUGAGAGGUACAUGAAGUAAAAGUUAUCUUAAAUUUUCAAUUCUGGUUUAUUAUCACUGAUAAGUCUUUCUGAAACAAUUUUAAUAAAUUGUUUUCAAUAAAUUUUUAGGAAUAAUAAACAUGAGACGUGUGGAUUCAAGUCUAGCUUUGUCUUAUA